GGGUUUAAAACCCUAAUGUUGACUGAAAGGAAAGAGUUUAGUUUAGGGUUUAAAACCCUAAUGCUGAUUGCAUGGAAAAGCUCAGUUUAGGGUUUAAAACCCUAAUGCUGAUUGCAUGGAAAAGCUCAGUUUAGGGUUUAAAACCCUAAUGCUGAUUGCAUGGAAAAACUCAGUUUAGGGAUUAAAACCCUAAUGCUGGCUAAAGGAAAAGUUCAGUUUAGGGUUUAAAACCCUAAUGCUGACUGAAUGGAAAAAAGUUCAGUUUAGGGUUUUAAUACCCUAAUGCUGACUAAAGGAAAAGUUCAGUUUAGGGUUUAAAACCCUAAUGCUGACUGAAUGGAAAAAAGUUCAGUUCAGGGUAUAAAACCCUAAUGCUGAUUGCAUGAAAAAGCUCAGUUUAGGGUUUAAAACCCUAAUGAUGGCUAAAUGGAAAAAAGUUCAUUUUUAGCAUUUAAAACCCUAAUGCUGACUAAAGGAAGAAGUUCAGUUUAGGGUUUAAAACCCUAACGCUGAUUGCAUGGAAAAGCUCAGUUUAGGGUUUAAAACCCUAAUGCUGGCUAAAUGGAAAAAAGUUCAGUUUAGGGUUUAAAACCCUAAUGCUGACUAAAGGAAAAAGUUCAGUUUAGGUUUUAAAACCCUAAUGCUGACUGAAUGGAAAAAAGUUCAGUUUAGGGUUUAAAACCCUAAUGCUGAGUAAAGGAAAAGUUCAGUUUAGGGUUUAAAACCCUAAUGAUGAUUGCAUGGAAAAGCUUAGUUUAGGGUUUAAAACCCUAAUGCUGGCUGAAUGGAAAAAAGUUCAGUUUAGGGUUUAAAACCCUAAUGCUGAUUGCAUGGAAAAGCUCAGUUUAGGGUUUAAAACCCUAAUGCUGGCUGAAUGGAAAAAAGUUCAGUUUAGGGUUUAAAACCCUAAUGCUGAUUGCAUGAAAAAGCUCAGAUUAGGGUUUAAAACCCUAAUGCUGGCUGAAUGGAAAAAAGUUUAGUUUAGGGUUUAAAACCCUAAUGCUGACUAAAGGAAGAAGUUCAGUUUAGGGUUUAAAACCCUAAUGCUGACUAAAGGAAAAGUUCAGUUUAGGGUUUAAAACCCUAAUGCUAACUGAAAGGAAA
rnacentral:lncRNA from 1 species